AUUGUUAGAUAAGAAGAUCCCCCCAUUCCGAUUAGAUAUUGUGUGGGUUCAUCGUAUCCACACAAACGUCCCUUUUGACUUUUGAGUCACCGUCACCAUGCCGAGAAGAAUCAUGUCACAGAUGUUUCACUUCGUCGAUCGAUAAUCUCUACCGCCGAACCAUCGACUUCUAUCUAGCAAUUAUCAACAGACCCGUCGGCUUCUAUCUUUCCACGAUUACCAGAACCGUCGGCUUCUAUUUUGCCGCUAAUCGAUCAACCAUUUGAGCUUCUUCUUUCGUUAUACCUGUACACUUCAGCUCCAUAUCAGUAGCUCAUCAAGUCUAUCAAGUAUGGAAGUUGAUGCUGUCGUACCAAAAGGAUCCUGGUUUGGAUGCUUGGAUUUGCUAACUCGUUUUAAAAGCUUAAUGUUAUUAAGGUAUGUGAAUCCAUCAAUCUUUUUGUUUGUUUUGUGAUGGAUGUUUUUGAGUGAAAGACAUUAGAGCAUCUCCAUUGGUGGUAGUUUAAUCAAUUUUUUAGAAACUUUCAGAAUUAAAAGUAAUUAAAAAAAUGAAAACAGCGCUAAAAACUUAACCAUCGAUGCUAAUUUAAGAGUUUUUAGAGUUGUAUCUUAACUAUAACGUGUCGGUAUGUGAGUGGCUAGGGAAUUUUUUUUUGUUUCUUUGUUCUUUGCCGUCGUCUCGUCUAUAUCGCUGGCGUCGACUACAAAGUGGAGACCAUAGUAAGAGCUCAUACAAGAGAAAUAUAACCACAGUGGAAUCUAACGAGGAAGAAGUUAAAAUAGCAAUGAAUAUGGCUGAGAAGAAACUUUCGGAGAAUGAUUACAAUGGAGCGAAGAUAUGCGUUGACAAGGCUAAGAAUUUGUAUCCGAACCUUGAUUGGUUUGAAGUUAACUUUGUUACGAGGUUCGUAUCUCCUUCUUUUAUGUUGGUGAUUUUGGGUUCCUAUCUUAGUUUGAUCGAUGAAUGGACUUGUACAUCUGUGGGAAAAAGAGUUAACAAUGUUAGGAGGACUUUGUUGAAUAAAUAAACGCUUAUAAUUGAGGUCUGAGUAUAGAUAGAUCGAAGCAGGCUAAGAUUAACUUCCUAGUUGUUCUGCUUAGUAAUCAUACAUACUCAUGUCUUUUUAGUUUGAAUGAUCGGUUGUAUGUUUCUUACAUUGAAUGAGUUUCAUGUUCAAGAAGCAAUUGUUCUUCUGUUAAAGCCACAGAGAAAGACAUCUCGUAAUAUAUACAUAUAUUUUCACUAUCUGUCUCCAUAUUUUUCUACUCUAGCUAUGGCGCCCAUUGAGAUUCAUUGCAGGUUGUGCUUUCAUCUUGGGAGUCAGUCGUUGAGUUGCAGCCAAGACUAGAUGAGAUAUCGAAAUGCCCUUGUGAAGGAAUGAUGGUGACUGCCGCUGCUUCUCCAUUUGAUUUCUGUAGCCGCUACUUUGCCCCCAGAUUUGGGAUCAAUGAGCUCUUUUUGCUUUUUUACUUAAAAAGGACCCUAGCUAUGCACAAGUGUGAUUUCUUGGCCUACCAGCACCAAAGAAUAAUAGAAGAUUCAGAAAGAAUGAAGCACCAACCGUAAUUUCUCCAAAGCAAUAUAAGAGAAGAUUCAGAAAGGCAAGACAAUGACUACUUACUUCCUCAUGGUCCCUGAUCAAUGGUCUCCGCCUACUGUCGUUGCUAAUGACUCCAGAUCUGAUCAACCUGAAGAAACCUCUCAAGCCGGUACACAAACAGAGUGAUAUAAGGAAUCAUCAUAUUGUAAAGUGUUUUGGGUCUUGUAUAGAUUUUGGUAUUAGGGAAGACAAUGAAGAAGAGAAGAAGUAGAUAUAUACUUGCAUACAUGUAAUUGUAAUAGUUUAGGAUCAAUCAUUGGACCCAUGAAAUUUCAAAGUUUCUUAAUGAAUUGCUUAACAUAUUAUUUUUCAA